CCUACGGGAGGCUGCAGUGGGGAAUAUUGGACAAUGGGGGGAACCCUGAUCCAGCCAUGCCGCGUGUGUGAAGAAGGCCCUCGGGUUGUAAAGCACUUUCAGUGAGGAAGAACGCCUGGUGGUUAAUACCCAUCAGGAAAGACAUCACUCACAGAAGAAGCACCGGCUAACUCCGUGCCAGCAGCCGCGGUAAUACGGAGGGUGCGAGCGUUAAUCGGAAUUACUGGGCGUAAAGCGCGCGUAGGUGGCUUGAUAAGCCGGUUGUGAAGGCCCCGGGCUCAACCUGGGAACGGCAUCCGGAACUGUCAAGCUAGAGUGCAGGAGAGGAAGGUAGAAUUCCCGGUGUAGCGGUGAAAUGCGUAGAGAUCGGGAGGAAUACCAGUGGCGAAGGCGGCCUUCUGGACUGACACUGACACUGAGGUGCGAAAGCGUGGGUAGCAAACAGGAUUAGAUACCCUGGUAGUC
rnacentral:rRNA from 1 species